rnacentral:tRNA from 1 species
GCCCGCAUAGCUCAGUCGGUAGAGCGCAUUCUUGGUAAGAAUGAGGUCAUCGGUUCAAGUCCGAUUGUGGGCU